rnacentral:rRNA from 1 species
UGCCAGCCGCCGCGGUAACACGGGGGGCGCAAGCGUUAUUCGGAAUUAUUGGGCGUAAAGGGCGCGCAGGCGGUCUUGUCGGUCAGGGGUGAAAUCCUACCGCUCAACGGUAGAACUGCCUUUGAUACUGGCAAACUUGAGUUAUUGUGAAGUAGUUAGAAUGUGUAGUGUAGCGGUGAAAUGCAUAGAUAUUACACAGAAUACCAAUUGCGAAGGCAGAUUACUAACAAUUAACUGACGCUGAGUGACGAAAGCGUGGGUAGAGAACAGGAUUAGAUA